rnacentral:rRNA from 1 species
AUACGGAGGGGGUUAGCGUUGUUCGGAAUUACUGGGCGUAAAGCGCACGUAGGCGGAUUGGAAAGUUGGGGGUGAAAUCCCAGGGCUCAACCCUGGAACUGCCUCCAAAACUAACAGUCUAGAGUUCGAGAGAGGUGAGUGGAAUUCCAAGUGUAGAGGUGAAAUUCGUAGAUAUUUGGAGGAACACCAGUGGCGAAGGCGGCUCACUGGCUCGAUACUGACGCUGAGGUGCGAAAGCGUGGGGAGCAAACAGGAUUAGAAACCCUGGUAGUCC